rnacentral:misc_RNA from 1 species
AACGCAUCUUGCGCCUUUUGGUAUUCCGAAAGGCACACUUGUUUGAGUGUCAUAAAAAUAUCAAUUUCUUUUUGUUAUAGAAAGGAAUCGGAUUAUGAGUGUUGCUGUGUUACAGCUCGCUUAAAAUGUAUUAGUCCUCCAAUUGCCGGAUAGACUUGGUGUAAUAAGACCUUUCACCAAGGAGAUGCUUUGCAGGCCGGCCAAUUAAGAGGUACUGCAAAAUGUUUAUUAUCAUUUGGACAUCAAAUCAAGUGGGACCACCCGCUGAACUUAA